ACAGUCACACAUUAGAUACCCCCGUAGUCCCAGCCGUAAACUAUGCGCGUUAGGUGUAUCGGUGACCACGAGUUACCGAGGUGCCGAAGGGAAACCGUGAAACGUGCCGCCUGGGAAGUACGGUCGCAAGGCUGAAACUUAAAGGAAUUGGCGGGGAGCACCACAACGGGUGGAGCCUGCGGUUUAAUUGGACUCAACGCCGGGAAGCUCACCGGAUAAGACAGCGGAAUGAUUGCCGGGCUGAAGACUCUGCAUGACUAGCUG
rnacentral:rRNA from 1 species